AUUGAACGCUGGCGGCAUGCUUUACACAUGCAAGUCGAACGGCAGCACGGGUGCUUGCACCUGGUGGCGAGUGGCGAACGGGUGAGUAAUGCACCGGAACGUAUCCAAUAAUGGGGGAUAACGCACCGAAAGGUGUGCUAAUACCGCAUACGCCCUGAGGGGGAAAGCGGAGGACCGAAAGGCCUCGCGUUACUGGAGCGGCCGAUGCCGGAUUAGCUAGUUGGUGAGGUAAAGGCUCACCAAGGCGACGAUCCGUAGCUGGUCUGAGAGGACGACCAGCCACACUGGGACUGAGACACGGCCCAGACUCCUACGGGAGGCAGCAGUGGGGAAUUUUGGACAAUGGGCGCAAGCCUGAUCCGGCCAUGCCGCGUGAGUGAAGAAGGCCUUCGGGUUGUAAAGCUCUUUCGCAAGGAAAGAAAACUCAUCUCCUAAUACGAGGUGAGGAUGACGGUACCUUGAUAAGAAGCACCGGCUAACUACGUGCCAGCAGCCGCCGUAA
rnacentral:rRNA from 1 species